rnacentral:rRNA from 1 species
AUGGUAACGUUUUUAAACCAUGUGAUAUCUGUCAUGAGAUUUACUACUCCUACACCUUUGGGCACCGGGGCUGUGAGCCACCGUUGCUGGUCGCAGUACUCAAAUGGCAGCCGUACGGAUCAGUCCCGGUGCCCGAGAAAGGCCUCGUCUUUCUGCUCUUUGCUUGUGGUUUGGUGCACUGAAAAGAAUGUGGGGGGAGGGAGGGCAUGGGAAAUAGUUUACAAAACCAGCUGGGCCAAAGCAUUGCGGUGUUUUACUGCCAGGAGAUCUUGGCUAUGUGUAUCAUGUCAUGCAGAGGCUCGGUAUUGGCUCAGUGCGGUAGUAUCAGCCUCCUUUUUUGUCUCAAAAAAAGUCUGUCAUAUGCAUAGCAUUUGUGUGGGUGGGAAUCAGAAAUUUAUCACUCACUACAAACAAAAGAAUUUUGUCAGUCUUGUUUCCUUACGUGGAAAAGCUAGUUAA